UCGCCAUUGACACUAUCGCGUUGCCCUUUUGCAGCUGCGAAUAUGUGAUCACAGACAAUCCAAACACAUGAAACAUAGGCAAGACACACAAGAAAACAUGGUGCAUUUCACUUCCCCCUGCCAUUUCUUGAUCCAUAGUGACCAUUAGAGAAGCCGCAAUGAAAUUCCCAUGCGUCAAAAUCACUCCUUUACUAGUCCCUGUUGUGCCUGAAGAAUAUAACAACGCAGCUGUAUCAGUUUGCUUCACUUUAUUCUCAGGGAAUUCAGAAUUAGACCCUCCUAGCUCAACCAGAUGAUGAAAACUUUUUAUUCUUGAAUUGGGCUCUAUAGAUAAAGACUCCUUAGAACCUAAAAACACAGCUGGUAAAUUGAAAUCUUUAACUUUGUUCCACAACUCAGGCACAGUUAUGACCAACUUGGGCUUAGAAUCUUUUAUCUGUUUUGAGAGUUCUGUGGUUGUGUAAAGAGGAUUUGCAGUUGUAGCUAUAGCACCAAUUGCAGUGAUGGCCAAGAAACAAAUAAGGUACUGGUAAGAAUUAGGAGCAAAGAUGAGAACAACAUCAUUUUUAGAGAUACCCAAAUGGCGUAAGCCAUGUGAGACCUUGACAACAAUGGAUUUGAGCUGUGCAAAAGAUAAGGUUAUUGAUAAAUCUGCAUCAAUAAGAGCUGGUUUGUGAGGAUAAGAAUUGGAAUUUCUAAAAAGAAAUGAAACCAUUGAGAGAAUAGGAUCUUUAGGGACGAUAAGAGCAGGUCUUAGCGACCUUUAUAUCCCACCCCUGCCAUAUCCCGAUCUCUCCAUUGAAAAUUCAGAGGACAAAAACUUGGGAAAAUUCGAGGCUAGAUUUAAUUUACUGUAAAUUUAAGGAUUU
rnacentral:misc_RNA from 1 species